rnacentral:rRNA from 1 species
GAGCGCCCCGCAAGGGGAGCGGCAGACGGGAGAGUAACACGUGGGAACGUACCCUUCAGUUCGGAACAACCCAGGGAAACUUGGGCUAAUACCGGAUACGUCCAUAAGGAGAAAGAUUUAUCGCUGAAGGAUCGGCCCGCGUCUGAUUAGCUUGUUGGUGAGGUAACGGCUCACCAAGGCGACGAUCAGUAGCUGGUCUGAGAGGAUGAUCAGCCUCACUGGGACUGAGACACGGCCCAGACUCCUACGGGAGGCAGCAGUGGGGAAUAUUGGACAAUGGGCGCAAGCCUGAUCCAGCCAUGCCGCGUGGAUGAUGAAGGCCCUAGGGUUGUAAAGUCCUUUCGGCGGGGAAGAUAAUGACGGUACCCGCAGAAGAAGCCCCGGCUAACUUCGUG